AUGGAAGGCGACGAGAGUUUCCUGGGCAUGUUGAACUUUGGUGUCUCAACACAAGUGCCGGAUAGUCCAGUUGGAGAGCAAGAGUCGCCCAUGCUGCCAACUCAAAAAACAUCUACAACUGUGAAAGGAAAAUCCACCAAGGGGAAGAAUUGGUCUAUUGAAGAGGAUAAUCUGUUGGUGGCAGCAUGGGUGCACACUAAUUUGGAUGCUUUGAUAGAAACAGAUCAAACAUCAAAUUCUUAUUGGGGUAGGAUUUAUGAUUACUACAGCACGCGCAAGAAAGUGUCAUGGCCGCAAAUACUUAAUAGAAACCAAAGCGGAGUGACUAUUGCUCAGCAGCAAGCCCAGGCACUUGUUCUGUACCAGUCCAAAGAUCCUAAAAAGAGGCCAUUUACAUUAAUGCAUUGUUGGUUAGUGUUGGAAAAGCAUCCUAAGUGGGAGAAUCGUGUGAUUUCCAAGGGGCCUCAGAAAAAGCAGAAGAAGACCUCGGAUGCAAGUCCAGGUACGACUUCUAAUGACGAAGACUUCGAGAGAUGCACUGAUGCUCUUGAAACAGAGACAAGACCUGAUGGUAAUAAGCGGGAGAAAACCCAUUUACAAAAAGCUAAAGCUUCUGCUUCUGAUGCUUUUAGUCCCAAGUUAUCAUUAGAAAAUGUGUGGGCACAAAAGUUAAAGAAGGCUGAGGUCAAAGUUACCAAGAGAGGGAGAUGUCAUACAAGCAAUUUGAGUUAG
rnacentral:rRNA from 1 species